rnacentral:lncRNA from 1 species
GUAAAGUGAAGGGACAGUGAUUUUGGACAGGAAAGCCAAAAGCAAAACUAACAAAAUACAUUAUAAGUAAGAACAUAUAAACCAACUCUUGGCAACUGAGAAAAGAGGAUGUGACAUGUUCAUCCAUUGAUUCAACCAGUGAUUAUCACAAAAACAGCAGAAGACCUAAUGCAUCCCUGGGAUUGAGGUAGGAGAUCAGCUGGACUUGUUUUCUGAGCCUCAGUCUCCCUGCUGCUGAUCAAGACGGGAUGUGGCAAAGAAAAUGUGCUAGAACCAAGAUGGCAAUGAAAGCGAUCUCCAGUUACCCUCACUGCUUAUUUGCAUUUGCCUAAGAUGCUCCCAUCAGAGCCUUGACAGUUUACAAAUGCUGUGGCAAUGAUCCAGGAGUUACCUUGUGUGAUUCCAGGAACCCUCCACCCCUUGUUCAUGAAUAACCUUAACCUGUCCCUUAUUUAGCAUGUAAAUAAGAGUCGGUAUAAGCAGAGCUAGCCAGCAAUCCACAGAUGCUCUUCUGUGCUACUCUGCCUAUGGGAUAGCCCUGUUUUGUCUACAGAGCAGCCAUUUUAU